rnacentral:lncRNA from 1 species
UGGCCCUCACGAGCUUCAUAAAAUGGCGACAUUGAAAAUAAUAUCAGUACAAGAACGUUCUCCUGUGCUUCCAGACAUGCUCAGCUCCACAUAUUCUUGUACAGUCAAAAUGUCAAAUAUCAUUGAAUCAGUUAUAAAUAAAGGAUUAUGUGUCAAUGGUCAUUAUCCCUACAGCCUAAUUGUAAAUGAAGUUGAUGACCUCUUUCAGUGUAAUGACGUAAACAUCCUGGUCCAAAGCAUCAACUUUUGGAUAGGUCUUCCAUUUCUUCUCUGCAUUGAUUGUCUUGGUUAUGGAUUCGUUAGCUCGGACCUUCGCCGCCUCCACCUUGUCAUUUCCACAACGAUUUUGGCUUUUUCCUGCUCCAACGAGUAGUCAAGGCAGUCUUCUUAUCAACCCAUUUCGCCUCAGCCUCCUAAGAGAAAGCUCUUCGCUCUUCGGCAGCUUGAUACAUAACCAGAGCAUCAUCUCUGAUCUUUUGGAUGGCUUGUAACUCAGCUUUCACCGAAGUGCAGUUCAAAUAAAAUGAGAAGACAAAUGACUCGAUAAAAAUGAGCACGUCGUAACAAAGACAAUCAAGAAAUUAUACUUUCUCCGAAAUUGACGUCAUAUGGAGAACAGAAUGGUGGUAAUAAACGACUGUCAUGAUACAUGACUCAUUCGCGCUCAUUUGGCCUAGGAAGCCCUACUCACGAUUGGUCCAACUUUGGGCAAGCAGGCAAGCUGAAUUACUAAAGAGAGGAGGUAGGGAUCGGGUCAUUCCCGUGGAUGGAGGAGACUUGUAGAAGGCUAGAAGCGCCUUAGCUUGGCCCUCUGUGAGCUCGUCCAAAUUUGACCAAAGGCAUGCUACUGGAAGAGUUGGCCUUUGAUCGCCAAGUAAAGAGACCUUAGGCUUGACUUGUGCCUUCUUCUUUUGUCACGUGGAAGGAUAAUAGGACGGUAAAUUCCCUUGAAACUCCU